rnacentral:rRNA from 1 species
UACGUAGGUCGCAAGCGUUGUCCGGAUUUACUGGGCGUAAAGAGCGUGUAGGCGGCCACGCAGGUCCGUUGUGAAAACUGGAGGCUCAACCUCCAGACGUCGACGGAAACCGUAUGGCUAGAGUCCGGAAGAGGAUAGUGGAAUUCCCAGUGUAGCGGUGAAAUGCGUAGAUAUUGGGAGGAACACCGGUGGCGAAGGCGGCUAUCUGGACCGGUACUGACGCUGAGACGCGAAAGCCAGGGGAGCAAACGGG